rnacentral:rRNA from 1 species
GACGAACCGUGCGAACGUUGUUCGGAAUCACUGGGCUUAAAGGGCGCGUAGGCGGGCCGCCAGGCCCGCGGUGAAAUCCCCCGGCUCAACCGGGGAAGUGCCGCGGGGACCGGCGGUCUAGAGUGAGAUAGGGGCGUGCGGAACUGUGGGUGGAGCGGUGAAAUGCGUUGAUAUCCACAGGAACUCCGGUGGCGAAGGCGGCACGCUGGAUCUCUACUGACGCUGAGGAGCGAAAGCCAGGGGAGCAAACGGG